rfam:Branchiostoma floridae genomic scaffold BRAFLscaffold_111, whole genome shotgun sequence.
GUGUGGAUGGUGUUCUGCACCAAGGAGAGGUGUAUUCACUUGUGUGUAGAUGGUAUUCAGCACCAGGGACAGGUGUGUUUACCU